rnacentral:siRNA from 1 species
AAGUUCACGUAUUAAAUGGCCAC